rnacentral:misc_RNA from 1 species
CGCAGCCGCGGUAAUUCCAGCUCCAAUAGCGUAUAUUAAAGUUGUUGCAGUUAAAAAGCUCGUAGUUGAAUUUCGGGAUUGGCGCAUCGGUCGUGCCUCACGGGGUAUGAACUGGUGCAGUCAAUUUCUCACCUUCUGGAGAACCGCGAUGUCCUUAAUUGGAUGCCGCGGGGAACCAGGACCUUUACUUUGAAAAAAUUAGAGUGUUUAAAGCAGGCAUUUUUGCUUGAAUACAUUAGCAUAGAAUAAUAAAAUAGGACGGCAUGGUUCUAUUUUGUUGGUUUCUAGGACCACCGUAAUGAUUAAUAGGGAUAGUUGGGGGCAUUAGUAUUCAAUUGUCAGAGGUGAAAUUCUUGGAUUUAUUGAAGACUAACUACUGCGAAAGCAUUUGCCAAGGAUGUUUUCAUUAAUCAAGAACGAAAGUUAGGGGAUCGAAGACGAUCAGAUACCGUCGUAGUCUUAACCAUAAACUAUGCCGACUAGGAAUCAGACGAUGUUAAUUUUUUAAUGACUCGUUUGG